UAGCUAGCAUCUCUUUAACAUUUGAAAAAAAUCCUGCAGCACAAUCCUUGAAAGAGAUUUGGUCUAGAAGAGAAAGGUGGCUAGGAGAUCAGAAUAACUGUUCUGAAAGGAGGAAAGGAUGAGAACUACAUGGUUUCCACCACUUCAAAAUACACUCCAGAACAGAGAUAGGCUUUCUGCAAAUUAAGUUUUUGGAUGCCAAUUGCCAACUCUGGAUUUGGGUGGUUAAACCAUCUCUAGAAAGAGCUGGUGCUUAAAGGAGAUUUUCAGACUGCAGAACAAGCCCUGACAUGUCUGAAGUGGAGGAAGACUUGAAGAAGAUGGAAAGGGAAAGGAUGAUGGACUAGACAUGCUGAGAUGUGCCCAAGGGUUACAGACCCUGCCUACUGGGCAAAUGCUUAUUAACCUCUUCAUUAAUGACCUGGAUGAUGGGACAGAUGAAGUUUGUAGAUAAACACGAGUAGCUGACACAGCAGAUGGCACAACUGCCCCUCAUAGAGACCUAGACUGCAUGAAGAACCAGGCAGAGAGGACGUCUGAGAAAUUUCAACAAGGUGGAAUGCAGAGUCCUGCACCUGAGGAGGAAUGACCUUGUGCACCAGGACACACCAAGGGCUGAGAGGCUGGGAAGCAGCUCUCCAGCAGAGGGCCUGGAGUCCUGGUGGACAAGAAGCUGAUCAGAAGCCAGCAAUGCAAUCUCAAAGCAAAGAAGGCCUACAGCACCCAGGGCUGCACUAGGAAGAAUGUGUCUGGCAGUUUUGAGUGUGAUCCUUUCCCCCUACUCAACAUCAGUGAAUCCAGCACAAUUGGAAUGCCGUGUGCAGUUCUGGGCUCCCGAAUACAAG